AUCCAUUUCACCCCAAUACAAACCCGAAACCCUUAUUUUCCCCCAAAUCAAAAUUUCCCCUAAACCCUAAAUUUUCCCCAAAUCAAACCCAUUUGCCGUCUCCCUUUCUCUUUUGGUUCGACAGCAAGCGGAAAAUUAAGGGAUUUCAUGUCGAAAUCAAACCCGACUGAAGGCUAGCUUUUGCGAGUCCAACAAAUCAAGCUAAAUAGGUGGGAGGAAGCAUUGGCGAGAAAGGGGAAGGAGCAAGUCGAUCGGCUAGAUAGCUCAACUUGGAGAAAUUUUAACAAGCCUCUCACCACCAUUCUGUCCCAGCCUCCUCUUUCUCUUGUCGCGUUCAAGUUUCCAACAGACUAGGAAAUUUAUUAAGCUUCAAAUGGAAGGAUUAAGUGUAGCAGAUGCUAAUUUGUUGAUGUAUUUACACCCAUCAAAGAGUAGGAACGUGUCCCAGUCGAUUCUCCGUGAGCUUGGCUCUUUGCUAUUCAAGUUUAAUGAAACAUUUGAUGGUGUUUUAUUGGCCUAUGAUGUCAAUAUUCUGGAUAAACAGGCGAAAAUUCUUUCUGGUGUUCAUCCUUAUUUUGGUCUUAGACUAAAAGCAAAUCUCCUACUUUUUUCACCAAAGCCAGAUAUGCUCUUAGAGGGGAAGGUAGUGAAGCUUUCUCAAGAAUCUAUUCAUGUUAUUGUUCUCGGUUUCUCGUCUGCCAUCAUAACAGCUGAAAACAUUCGUGGAGAAUUUAAAUAUAGAACCAAAGACAAAGAGGAACUAUUUGCCAGCAAAUCUCACAAGCGACAUGUCAUAAAGGUUGGAACCAUGAUCCGAUUUUUAGUCAAGAGUUUUGAUGAGGAAAUACUUCAUAUCAUUGGAUCUCUGAUAUCAGCUCACACAGGAAGCAUUCGUUGGUUGGAUAGACAUUUGGAGGAAGAUUCAGAAUUUGAUAGGUCUUGUAGUAAACUCAAAAGUUUUAAAUAGCAACCUUUCUGUAUUUCAACUUGCGAAAGUUUUAAUUUAAAUGUUGUAUAAGCCUAUAGGAGUUCUAUGAAGAGUAGAGAUAGAGAAUGGCUUGGGGAUAAAACUGUUGAUGAGGGAGCAACUCCCAUGAGCUACGAUAAUCAUAUUAAAAUGUCCAAAAAGCGUAGAAUCACAGAAUGAUGGUGAUGAUUGCUUCAAAUUACUAAUUGUAUUAGGAGAUUUCUUGUUGUCAGGUAGUGGGGAGUGGUGGGCUGAAGGUCCAUGUAGAUGAAGGUAUAUUGCUUCUGGUGAUUGCUUCGGUAAGGAAUUGUUCUUCUGUUGAAGCUUGCUAAAAUUUUGAAAUCUUCCCUUCAAUUUUUGUGGUCGUUGUUUUGUAUGUGACCAAGAUUGAAAAUUCCAGAUUCUCAAGUCGAUAAAAGAGAUUGCAAUUUUUUUCUCCUGUGAAGUAGGCGAUUUUUGUUUCCUAAUGAUGUAUGUUGAGUGACUUUUUUGUACGUUGUACAAGUACAGACUUGGUCUUAUCUAUAAUAUGUUAACAUCGAAUUUAGCAAAAGGAAA